AAAUGAAAUUUUUAUUUGACUUCUUUUGCAUUUUCAUAAAUCAAUUGUGUACCUUUAUAAAGUAUUUGUGACCUUGGUUUUAUAGUUUAAUUUUAGUUAGUUAUGGUUAUUUGUUUGUUAUUAAGAAUAUUUAACAUUUAUCUAUGUUUCAAAAUAUUGUUGUUAAGAACAACCGCCACCACCCAACCCCAUACCCACCAAACCACCACCCAUUCACCAUCGACCCUUGAUGAUGUCGGCGACGAAAAUAUCGUGUCGCCCGGCAAACCGUUGGAGACCGGCCUCAUGCCAAUAAUACAGCCGUACACUCAAGCAGUGGCCCUAGGUGGUAACCCUAGCACCGCUGCUCAAACAGUCAAUCCGACUGGUGGCAAGACUAUUUGGGAUGGUACGGCGGCUAUGGGAGAUGGCGAAAUUGGUGGAAGAAACACUAUUACGGAUAGUGAAGUGAAUUGGACUGUAGCCCUAACUUAGAUUCGGCCGGUUCCAGCCACUUCCCAGGCAAACGCGUCUGACCGGUGGGCUGUGCAAGUGAUUUCGGUCAGGGAGGCAGGGCGGCGAGAUGCACGCGUCGUCGAAACGGUGCGUGGAGGACACGCGCCGUUACCGAAAAACCUGGAAAUUCUCUAGAAUGCUCCCUGACCACCUACGAUGCCUAUUCCAUCGUCAAAUGUGCCAUUUAUACACAAUCAGGGGAGAAAGUUAAUGGAUGGAGACGGCAUGGUAUUCAACUAUCGUUUUCGAGUGGAGGCGAAGAGUUUGCAAUUUUUGUUAACAAUCUCGAUGUUGUUAGGAUGAUCGAGUGGGGCUCGAAGUUAUGGGGUGAGUUUGUGGAAGUAUAUCCGACGAGGAUGGAAUGACUUUCGAGAGAAAUUGACUUAUAUGAUGGGAAAUGGCUAUAGUAUCAGAUUUUGGGAUGAUUGUUGGUGUGAAGAUUAUCUGCUAAAGGCACGGUUUCUUUCGUUGCAUCGCAUUGCCUUGGAGCCUACCGCUAUGGUGAAUGAUGUCCUAGCCAUACAUAAUGGAAAUUAUAGCUGGAAUAUUACCUUUGAGAGGGGUUUGCAGGAUUGGGAACUGGAUGAUUAUGCACUGUUUUUGACCUCCUUGCACGAGAUGCAUAUUCAGGUGGGAGAGGAUGAUAGGAGCAGAUGGAAGCUGGCGCGGGAUAGUAUUUUCUCAGUUUGCACUUAUUUUAGAUCUAUAUUGGAUCGAUAGAGAGUUCAUUUCCUUGAAAGAUGGUGUGGUAAUGUAAAAUGCCCCACAGGUAGCUUUCUUGUUACGGACGAUUGUGAGGGGGUAGACAUUAACGGUGGAUAAUCUUCGUAGAAAAGGUUUUUACGUUAUCGAAUGAUGUUAUAUGUGCAAGAGAGACGGAGAAACGAAUGACCAUUUGUUUCUCCAUUGUGAAGGUGUCCGGUGGUUGUGGAACAUUAUUCUAGCUUCCCAACAUAUGGAUUGGGUGAUGCCUAGGCAUAUGGAGGAUGUGUUGUGGGCAUGGAGGAGAAAAUUCCGAGAUAAGGAUAGUAGGCUUGCGUGAAACCUUAUUUCGGAAUGCAUUGUAUGGUG
rnacentral:lncRNA from 1 species